rnacentral:snRNA from 1 species
AAUGGAAUCAAGAUACACUAAAA